AAAACAGAUGUCGCUGUUAACGUUGAAAAACGAAGUGAAACUGAAAAUGCCGAAAAUAGACGAAGUGAAAAAAGUUAAUGUAAACAAAUAAAAUGAGGUUAAAGUUAAGUGAAUUUAUCAACAAAACACAAUGGAUUAUUCGGGAUUUUUGAUUGUGAUGGGCAAAAUUGAAUCAUCCGGAACUUUUGGACAUUCUGUAGCAUCCACAAAUUCCGGGAAGAGAUACCCGGACAAGUCCCAGGCAGCAUGAAAUGUUUAUUUAAUAAGCAGAAUCCCAUCCUGGGAUGCUGGAAGCAUUUGUGAAAGAACAGAGCUUUACAGAAUGGCCAUAAAGGCAUGAAGUCGGGAAUCUAAUAUUCUUAAAUAAAAAGGCUUUUCGUACUCUAA